rnacentral:rRNA from 1 species
AUUGAACGCUGGCGGCAGGCCUAACACAUGCAAGUCGAGCGGAUGAAGGGAGCUUGCUCCUGGAUUCAGCGGCGGACGGGUGAGUAAUGCCUAGGAAUCUGCCUGGUAGUGGGGGAUAACGUCCGGAAACGGGCGCUAAUACCGCAUACGUCCUGAGGGAGAAAGUGGGGGAUCUUCGGACCUCACGCUAUCAGAUGAGCCUAGGUCGGAUUAGCUAGUUGGUGGGGUAAAGGCCUACCAAGGCGACGAUCCGUAACUGGUCUGAGAGGAUGAUCAGUCACACUGGAACUGAGACACGGUCCAGAGUCCUACGGGAGGCAGCAGUGGGGAAUAUUGGACAACGGGCGAAAGCCUGAUCCAGCCAUGCCGCGUGUGUGAAGAAGGUCUUCGGAUUGUAAAGCACGUUAAGUUGGGAGGAAGGGCAGUAAGUUAAUACCUUGCUGUUUUGACGUUACCAACAGAAUAAGCACCGGCUAACUUCGUG